GGAGUUAGCCGGUGCUUCUUCUGUGAGUGAUGUCCUUCCUGCCGGUUAUUGACCCGCAGGCCUUCUUCCUCACUGAAAGUGCUUUACAACCCGAAGGCCUUCUUCACACACGCGGCAUGGCUGGAUCAGGGUUGCCCCCAUUGUCCAAUAUUCCCCACUGCUGCCUCCCGUAGGAGUCUGGGCCGUGUCUCAGUCCCAGUGUGGCUGAUCAUCCUCUCAGACCAGCUACGGAUCGUCGCCUUGGUGAGCCGUUACCUCACCAACCAGCUAAUCCGACAUAGGCUCAUCCGAUAGCGCGAGGCCCGAAGGUCCCCCGCUUUCCCCCGUAGGGCGUAUGCGGUAUUAGCCUGGGUUUCCCCCAGGUUAUCCCCCACUACCGGGCAGAUUCCUAUGCAUUACUCACCCGUCCGCCGCUCGCCACCAGGGAGCAAGCUCCCCGUGCUGCCGCUCGACUUGCAUGUGUAGCUGCCGCCAGCGUCAUACUGAGCCAGAAUACGAACCCGUACGA
rnacentral:rRNA from 1 species